GAUGAAGAACGUAGCGAAAUGUGAUACUUGGUGUGAAUUGCAGAAUCCCGUGAACCAUCGAGUCUUUGAACGCAAGUUGCGCCCGAAGCCAUUAGGCCGAGGGCACGCCUGCCUGGGCGUCACACGUCGUUGCCCCCCCAUCUACUCCUUCGGGAUUGCGGGGGGCGGAUGAUGGCCUCCCGUGCGCCUCGCCGCGCGGUUGGCAUAAAUGCCAAGUCCUCGGCGACGCACGCCACGACAAUCGGUGGUUGCGAAACCUCGGUUGCCCGUCGUGUGCGGUCGUCGCGCAUCGAGGGCUCGAAAAAAUUGCCGGGUUCCGGCUCGGCUUUCAACGCGACCCCAGGUCAGGCGGGGUUACCCGCUGAAUUUAAGCAUAUCAAUAAGCGGAGGA
rnacentral:misc_RNA from 1 species